UCCUACGGGGGGCAGCAGUAGGGAAUUUUCGUCAAUGGGCGCAAGCCUGAACGAGCAAUGCCGCGUGAACGAGGAAGGUCUUCGGAUCGUAAAGUUCUUUUGAAGGGGAAAAAGAGCGGAGAGAGGAAAUGGUCUCCGAUUGAUAUUACCCUUCGGGGAAGUCACGGCUAACUACGUGCCAGCAGCCGCGGUAAUACGUAGGUGGCGAGCGUUAUCCGGAAUGAUUGGGCGUAAAGGGUGCGUAGGCGGCCUGCUAAGUCUGGAGUGAAAGGUACCGGCUCAACCGGUACAGGCUCUGGAAACUG
rnacentral:rRNA from 1 species